rnacentral:rRNA from 1 species
AGAGUUUGAUCCUGGCUCAGAUUGAACGCUGGCGGCAUGCCUUACACAUGCAAGUCGAACGGCAGCACGGGGGCAACCCUGGUGGCGAGUGGCGAACGGGUGAGUAAUACAUCGGAACGUGUCCUGGAGUGGGGGAUAGCCCGGCGAAAGCCGGAUUAAUACCGCAUACGCUCGAGAGAGGAAAGCGGGGGAUCUUCGGACCUCGCGCUCAAGGGGCGGCCGAUGGCGGAUUAGCUAGUUGGUAGGGUAAAGGCUUACCAAGGCGACGAUCCGUAGCUGGUCUGAGAGGACGACCAGCCACACUGGGACUGAGACACGGCCCAGACUCCUACGGGAGGCAGCAGUGGGGAAUUUUGGACAAUGGGGGCAACCCUGAUCCAGCAAUGCCGCGUGUGUGAAGAAGGCCUU